rnacentral:rRNA from 1 species
GUGAGGAAUAUUGGUCAAUGGACGGAAGUCUGAACCAGCCAUGCCGCGUGCAGGAAUAAGGUCCUAUGGAUUGUAAACUGCUUUUAUUCGGGAAUAAACCUCUUUACGUGUAGGGAGCUGAAGGUACCGAAGGAAUAAGCACCGGCUAACUCCGUGCCAGCAGCCGCGGUAAUACGGAGGGUGCAAGCGUUAUCCGGAAUCAUUGGGUUUAAAGGGUCCGCAGGCGGGCUAUCAAGUCAGAGGUGAAAUCCCACAGCUUAACUGUGGAACUGCCGUUGAAACUGAUGGUCUUGAAUUAAGUGGGCGUUGGCGGAAUAUGACAUGUAGCGGUGAAAUGCAUAGAUAUGUCAUGGAACACCGAAAGCGAAGGCAGCUAACGAUACUUAUAUUGACGCUCAUGGACGAAAGCGUGGGUAGCGAACAGGAUUAGAUACCCUGGUAGUCC